rnacentral:rRNA from 1 species
GAUGAACGCUGGCGGCGUGCCUAAUACAUGCAAGUCGAGCGAACAGAUGAGGAGCUUGCUCCUCUGACGUUAGCGGCGGACGGGUGAGUAACACGUGGAUAACCUACCUAUAAGACUGGGAUAACUUCGGGAAACCGGAGCUAAUACCGGAUAAUAUAUUGAACCGCAUGGUUCAAUAGUGAAAGACGGUUUUGCUGUCACUUAUAGAUGGAUCCGCGCCGCAUUAGCUAGUUGGUAAGGUAACGGCUUACCAAGGCAACGAUGCGUAGCCGACCUGAGAGGGUGAUCGGCCACACUGGAACUGAGACACGGUCCAGACUCCUACGAGAGGCAGCAAUAGGGAAUCUUCCGCAAUGGGCGAAAGCCUGACGGAGCAACGCCGCGUGAGUGAUGAAGGUCUUCGGAUCGUAAAACACUGUUAUUAGGGAAGAACAAAUGUGUAAGUAACUAUGCACGUCUUGACGGUACCUAAUCAGAAAGCCACGGCUAACUACGU